rnacentral:miRNA from 1 species
UGUCCAGUAGCACCUUAGAGACCAACUAAGUUUGUUCCUGGUAUAAGCUUUCGUGUGCAUGUAUAAACUAGAAAGCUUAUACCAAGAACAAACUUAGUUGGGCUCGAAGGUGCUACUGGACA